rnacentral:rRNA from 1 species
GACGAACGCUGGCGGCGUGCUUAACACAUGCAAGUCGAACGGAGAGGCCCUGCUUUUGUGGGGUGGUCGAGUGGCGAACGGGUGAGUAACACGUGAGUAACCUGCCCUUGACUUUGGGAUAACUUCAGGAAACUGGUGCUAAUACCGGAUAUGCGCUGCUGCUGCAUGGUGGGGGUGGGAAAGUGUCGGGGGUUGGGGAUGGUCUCGCGGCUGCUUAGCUUGUUGGUGGGGGGGUGGCUGACCAAGGGUUUGACGGGUAGUCGGCCUGAGAGGAUGACCGGCGACAUUGGGACUGAGAUCCUGCCCGGACUACUACGGGAGGCAGUAGUGGAGUAUAUUGCAGAAUGGGCCGAAGCCGGAUGGAGCAACGCCGCGUGCGGGAUGACGGCAUUCGCGUUGUAUACCGCUUUCGCCUGUGACGAAGCGGGAGUGACGGUAAUGGGUAAAGAAGCACCGGCUAACUACGUG